AAGCACCACCUUAUGGUUAGAUGUAGAGAUGGUCUUUAUCACUAGGCUAUCCUUCCAUUGUCAUGUCAAGGUACCAACUCUAUUAGAGCUUAGAGAAGUGGAUCCCAAAGAAAAUUACAAACGAGAAACCACUGCAGACAACACAACACCUUCAUGCAACAAAAAGUUCUUUCUGCCACUUAUCCAUGACUUGUUCACAGCCCUAAAUAAUCAUUGAGCAUCACAAGUUUU
rnacentral:misc_RNA from 1 species